rnacentral:rRNA from 1 species
GAACGCACCGCAAGGUGAGUGGCAGACGGGUGAGUAACGCGUGGGAACCUUCCCUGUGGUACGGAAUAACUUCGGGAAACCGAAGCUAAUACCGUAUAUCUCCUCCGGGAGAAAGAUUUAUCGCCAUAGGAUGGGCCCGCGUUGGAUUAGCUAGUUGGUAGGGUAAUGGCCUACCAAGGCAACGAUCCAUAGCUGGUCUGAGAGGAUGAUCAGCCACACUGGGACUGAGACACGGCCCAGACUCCUACGGGAGGCAGCAGUGGGGAAUAUUGGACAAUGGGCGCAAGCCUGAUCCAGCCAUGCCGCGUGAGUGAAGAAGGCCUUAGGGUUGUAAAGCUCUUUUGGCGGGGACGAUAAUGACGGUACCCGCAGAAUAAGCCCCGGCUAACUUCGUG